rnacentral:rRNA from 1 species
UACGUAGGGUGCAAGCGUUGUCCGGAAUUAUUGGGCGUAAAGAGCUCGUAGGCGGUCUGUCGCGUCGGCUGUGAAAACCCGAGGCUCAACCUCGGGCCUGCAGUCGAUACGGGCAAACUAGAGUACUGCAGGGGAGACUGGAAUUCCUGGUGUAGCGGUGAAAUGCGUUGAUAUCUGGAGGAACACCGGUGGCGAAGGCGGCAUCCUGGACCGGCAUUGACGCUGAGGGCGCGAAAAGCCAGGGGGAGCAAACGGGG